rnacentral:rRNA from 1 species
UACAGAGGGGGCAAGCGUUGUCCGGAAUCAUUGGGCGUAAAGCGCGCGUAGGCGGCCCUGUAAGUCCGUUGUGAAAGUCGGGGGCUCAACCCUCGAAUGCCGGUGGAUACUGUCGGGCUAGAGUGCGGAAGAGGCGAGUGGAAUUCCGUGGUGUAGCGGUGAAAUGCGCAGAUAUCAGGAGGAACACCAAUUGCGAAGGCAGCUCGCUGGGACGUAACUGACGCUGAGACGCCGAAAGCGUGGG